rnacentral:rRNA from 1 species
GAUGAACGCUGGCGGCGUGCUUAACACAUGCAAGUCGAACGCUGGAGCUUGGUGCUUGCUCUGGGUGGAUGAGUGGCGAACGGGUGAGUAAUACGUGAGUAACCUGCCCUUAACUCUGGGAUAAGCCUGGGAAACCGGGUCUAAUACUGGAUACGACAUUUCACCGCAUGGUGGUGUGUGGAAAGGGUUUUAUUGGGUUUGGAUUGGCUCACGGCCUAUCAGCUUGUUGGUGGGGUAAUGGCUCACGAAGGCGACGCCGGGUAGCCGGCCUGAGAGGGUGACCGGCCACACGGGGACUGAGACACGGCCCAGAAUCCUACGGGAGGCAGCAGUGGGGAAUAUUGCGCAAUGGGCGGGAGCCUGAUGCAGCGACGCCGCGUGCGGGAUGACGGCCUUCGGGUUGUAAACCUCUGUCAGAACGGAAGAAGCGAAAGUGACGGUACGUGCAGAAGAAGCGCCGGCUAACUACGUG